UAUGCGGGAAUGCAUGGGCGACCGCCUCGU
rnacentral:piRNA from 1 species